rnacentral:rRNA from 1 species
UACAGAGGGGGCAAGCGUUGUUUGGAAUUACUGGGCGUAAAGGGCGCGUAGGCGGCCCGCUAAGUCGAACGUGAAAUCCCCGGGCUCAACCCGGGAACUGCGUCCGAUACUGGCAGGCUUGAAUCCGGGAGAGGGAUGUGGAAUUCCAGGUGUAGCGGUGAAAUGCGUAGAUAUCGUAAGGAAGACCAGUGGCGAAGGCGGGUCUCUGGACAGUUCCUGACGCUGAGGCACGAAGGCCAGGGGAGCAAACGGG